rnacentral:rRNA from 1 species
GAGUUUGAUCAUGGCUCAGGAUGAACGCCGGCGGUGUGCCUAAUACAUGCAAGUCGUACGCACUGGCCCAACUGAUUGAUGGUGCUUGCACCUGAUUGACGAUGGAUCACCAGUGAGUGGCGGACGGGUGAGUAACACGUAGGUAACCUGCCCCGGAGCGGGGGAUAACAUUUGGAAACAGAUGCUAAUACCGCAUAACAACAAAGGCCACAUGGCUUUUGUUUGAAAGAUGGCUUUGGCCAUCACUCUGGGAUGGACCUGCGGUGCAUUAGCUAGUUGGUAAGGUAACGGCUUACCAAGGCGAUGAUGCAUAGCCGAGUUGAGAGACUGAUCGGCCACAAUGGAACUGAGACACGGUCCAUACUCCUACGGGAGGCAGCAGUAGGGAAUCUUCCACAAUGGGCGCAAGCCUGAUGGAGCAACACCGCGUGAGUGAAGAAGGGUUUCGGCUCGUAAAGCUCUGUUGUUGGUAGAAGAACGUGCGUGAGAG